CGCGACAGUACAUAAAAGUUGCAAAACAUAAAACAAGAAAGUACUAAAUAGGCGAAGUAUAAGAUCCAAAUGCAAAUAAACAUAAGAGCUCAUUCUUCAUCUUCCUCGUCUCCGUCGCCACCAGAUGCCUUCUUUGCAGCAGCCUUUUGGUUCUUUCUCUUCACUCUUCCAGGGCGCCCACCACCAAAAGGACUGAUGAGAGAGAAGUCAAUGUGCUUCUGGGAGUCCAGUCUCACCAUAAAAGAAGGAACAUUCACCACCUGCCUACCAACUCUGCAUGACAAGAUUAUUAGGUCAUGGCGUUAUAUCUGCCAGACAGAUAAAUGAUACUAGCCCACAGUGAAAGAAAUCUGAGAAAACCCAAAAUGCGCAGACCAAGAGAAGUUGUUAAUGUUCACAGCAGUACUAAACAACAGAACAAAUAAUACAUAGACUACUACUUUGUAUAAGGAACAGAGUACAUGAUAUAAGAAGGAACACUCACAAAUAAUGCAAUAUAUGACACAACCAACACUUUCUUCCUCUAGCUAAGGAAAAAAAUCUACCAGCUGAAGUUUAAUAACUACAAAUUAGCUUCUACGAACACCUAGAAACACAAACCAUUUUGAGAUGCAUCAACAAACUUACAGUGAGCGAAUAAACAAGAGCUUCUCAAGAAAACAGUCUAGAUAUUUCAAUCAGAUUCCUUAAUGUGGAAGCAAAUAUAACUCUAAAACAGAUAAUAUAUCCUUGUUGAGAUACUAUUCUGACAACUUCUCCUCAAAAAUUCACUGCAAGAAUAUCGGAUCACAGAUUAUUUGCAUUGCAUAGUGCUUCCAAAUAAAGACCUCACUGUUAAAAGAAACAAUCCUAUGAAAUGAGGCUCAGAAGCUUCAUAAGAAUUUUCAUUCCAUUGUUCUCUAAAGAAAAAGUCAAGUGUUCGGUAGAGCACUUGAAAAAAAAAAAGCCAAGACCUCAACCAGCACCUUCGAGAAAAGCACAUCUAUAAAAAUAAUUAUCACCCGAACAUCAUGUUUAUAUUAAAGUUCUUUAGCAAAAAAAAUGUGAGAUAAAUGAUUCUUUUAUAAGGAAUCUCAAAACAAAAAGUUCAUCACAACAGUCCCUCAAAAGGUGUAAUCAAAGGCUAGAUCAGUUGCUAGAUAUUAAAAUGUUGGACUAUCAAACACUUUAUAAAUGCCACAUAUUAUUGCACCAUAGCAGGUAAUUCUAAAAAAAAUAUUCGCUUAGCAGUCCCGCUACCAUACAGUCAGACACAGGAAAUAUCAGGAAAAAACAUAUUAAGCCUACUUAUUUGAACUUUGACACUAAAACUGGCAAUAAAUUUUUAGUGGCAAUGAAUUUUACCUGAUAUGCCUUUGCCUAAUUAGUACUCUAGCAUGGUGGAUUGACUUAGCCAUGCCAGUCUUGAAGACAAGAGUUUGAAGACGACGUUCAAGAAAGUUCUCCACAGUGAGAGACAAGACGUAAUCGAGCUUGUUCUGGCUCUCAUCCAAUAACCCAUAUCUAUUCAUCCUCCUCAAGAGUGCUUCACCUUCAAAAAUACGACGUGGGUCUUUCUCAUCCAAAGUCAGAAGCAUUCUUGCAGCAUU
rnacentral:lncRNA from 1 species